rnacentral:rRNA from 1 species
GCUAAUACCGCAUAAUGCCUACGGGCCAAAGAGGGGGACCUUCGGGCCUCUCGCGUCAAGAUAUGCCUAGGUGGGAUUAGCUAGUUGGUGAGGUAAUGGCUCACCAAGGCGACGAUCCCUAGCUGGUCUGAGAGGAUGAUCAGCCACACUGGAACUGAGACACGGUCCAGACUCCUACGGGAGGCAGCAGUGGGGAAUAUUGCACAAUGGGCGAAAGCCUGAUGCAGCCAUGCCGCGUGUAUGAAGAAGGCCUUCGGGUUGUAAAGUACUUUCAGUUGUGAGGAAGGGGGUAACGUUAAUAGCGCUAUCUCUUGACGUUAGCAACAGAAGAAGCACCGGCUAACUCCGUGCCAGCAGCCGCGGUAAUACGGAGGGUGCGAGCGUUAAUCGGAAUUACUGGGCGUAAAGCGCAUGCAGGUGGUUCAUUAAGUCAGAUGUGAAAGCCCGGGGCUCAACCUCGGAACUGCAUUUGAAACUGGUGAACUAGAGUACUGUAGAGGGGGGUAGAAUUUCAGGUGUAGCGGUGAAAUGCGUAGAGAUCUGAAGGAAUACCAGUGGCGAAGGCGGCCCCCUGGA